CCUACGGGAGGCUGCAGUGAGGAAUAUUGGUCAAUGGGCGCAAGCCUGAACCAGCCACGUCGCGUGAGGGAUGACUGCCCUCCGGGUUGUAAACUUCUUUUAUAAAGGAAAAAAGUGAGGCACGUGUGCAUUUUUCUCCGUACUUUAUGAUUACAGAACGGCUAACUCCGUGCCAGCAGCCGCGGUAAUCCGGAGGAUCCGAGCGUUAUCCGGAUUUAGUGGGUUUAAAGGGAGCGUAGAUGGGUUGUUAAGUCAGUUGUGAAAGUUUGCGGCUCAACCGUAGAAUUGCAAUGGAUACUGGCAGGCUAGAGUGCAGGUGAGGUAGGUGGAAUUCGUGGUGUAGCGGUGAAAUGCGUAGAUAUCACGAAGAACACCGAUGGCGAAGGCAGCUUACUAAACUGCCACUGACAUUGAUGCUCGAAAGUGUGGGUAGCAAACAGGAUUAGAUACCCGAGUAGUC
rnacentral:rRNA from 1 species